GACGAACGCUGGCGGCGUGCCUAAUACAUGCAAGUAGAACGCAGUUGAGAACGUGUGAGUAACGCGUAGGUAACUGCCUGGUAGCGGGGGAUAACUAUUGGAAACGAUAGCUAAUACCGCAUACUACCAGAUGGACCUGCGUUGUAUUAGCUAGUUGGUGAGGUAACGGCUCACCAAGGCAACGAUACAUAGCCGACCUGGGAGGGGGGUCGGCCAAACUGGGACUUAGACACGGCUCCGACUCCUACGGGAGGGAGCAGUAGGGAAACUUCGGCCAUGGGGGGAACCCUGACCGAGCAACUGCGCGGGAGUGAAGAAGGUUUUCGGAUCGGAAAGCUCUGUUGUUAAGGAAGCGUUACCUAACCAGAAAGGAACGGCUAACUACGUGCCAGCAGCCGCGGUAAUAC
rnacentral:rRNA from 1 species